rnacentral:lncRNA from 1 species
GUUUUUUUUUUUUUUUUUUUUUUUAAGGUGAGCGGGAGGAUGAUUAUCCUUGGCUUCACAUGACGCAAUUUUUAGCUAGGAGAUACUCACAAUAAACCAUGAAAAACUUCUUGAUCCAUCCUUUGGACUUUCUCAUUUUUUUUUUGGGGAUGUUACAAGCUGAGUACUUUCUAUAUUUUUUUAAAUUAAAUUUGUCAAUCAAGUAAUAUUACAGAGUUGGCUAGAAUGUAGCUUAGAAGCUUAGGCUAAUCCACUUUUUUCUUUAGAACCAUCAACAUUAAUGAUAACAAUAAAAUUCGAAUAAAAAAAGUUCUAACUAUCUUAAUUUAUUUUUUAAAGUUCACAUUUCUUACGCUGACAAUGGAUACAUUAUCACAUGCGUGGUCAAUAUAAUAAAGUUUUAACACUUAUAUAUAUAUAUAUAUAUUAAUGGAGUUAUGCAUUUAAAACUACACGUGGAAUAAGCUAGAACAAAAAGAUUAAAUAAAUAAAUAAAGGAGCUAAAAGAUCAAACACAACUAUGACGCUAAUUAUUAAAUUAAAAAAAGUCUGUGAUGCCAGCCAAAGGGACGAAUCCACGUGUUGUGAAUCAAGUAGAUGGACCUGGGCAAAAUGUCCCUUUUGCGGGUCAAUUGUAAUUCUGAUCUAGCACGGCAAAGAUUCGAGGUGGUAUGGAAUGUGGAUUCUUAUAUUCUUAUAUUAUUCGCAUUUUGACCGUAUUCUCUGUCUGUUUCAGCGUGGGGAUGCAUGCUAACAUUCACUGCGUUUGUACAAAUUUAUAGUGAAGUAUGGAGAUAUCUCCAUUACCGCGUCAUUACAACAUUUAUUGUCUUUUUGGAUGCAAAAUAAGGCUAAAAAUUAGUGAAGUAUGAAGAUAUAUCUGGGAACCGUUUCGGUGGACGAUGGGUAAAAACUUUAUAAACGAUUUAUAAUUUUAUAGGCAUGCAUUAACCUGCGAUUGUGAUAGAAAUCGAAUUCAACCAAAUUUUUUUUGAAAAUAAAAAUGUAUAAAUUUGGAUCGUUGUAUUGAUAACCUAUCACAUUAUAUUAAAUUGAAGCGCUCAAACACGCAUCCCUUUACUUUUUAAAAUUUUCGACAUACAUCAUAGACGAAGAAAACUUAUAGUUGCGGAAACUAAUGAAGAAGGAAUUUAUGACAAUUUAUUGUUACAUUGUAUGUUAUUUUUAACGCUUCAAAAAGCUUGGUAAAGAACUCCACAAGUGCAGGACAAAGAACUAAAAAUAUUUUAUUAUCUUGCAAGUUUCUUUUUCCUUUUUCAUUAUUUAUGAUGGAAAUUGGUUAGCAAACAAAUUUCUACAUAGAACAAAGUAAAGAGAUGCAUUAAACACAAUCAAGACUCGAUUAUUCUCAAUUUGUCAUUUUGCGGGGACUUGAGUAUCUCUUUUGCUUAGUAAUUCAUUUUAAUAUUUCAUUAACAAAAAUAAAGAAAUUUUAUCGAUCACUAGUAAGAAUGUAAUGUCUAUAAAAUAAAAAGAGGAUUAAAAAAAACGUAUCAACGUAAUUUUUUUUUUCAUGAAAACUCACCAUCCAAAUGAAUAAUUUUUUGUUUUUUAGUGUCGUGUGGCAAUCACGCAUGAUGAAAAUGUUAAAACAUCAAGUCAUAAACGCCCACGAGAUUCCAAGGAGGGCAAUUUAGACUAAUUACCCGACUUGGAUGGAGGAAUCUACCAGAAGAUAACCAGAACUGGCUGGGUCAAAACCUCCGACUUUCAUCUCUAAUUAAUUGCAGAGUAAAAGAAUUUUUUUUUUUUUAAAAAAAAAGAAAUCCUAGAACAAUAGAAGAGUAUAUUACUAGUAAAAGAUAAGGAAAAAAUAUGCGACGACGCGAUAGUGGCAAUAUAUAAUUAUAUCCCAACUUUCUCGCUGUCAAAACCCAGCGUUGCUGUUUUUGAGAAUCUUCCCUUCGCCUCUCCCCUCUCUCCUCUCUUUCUCAAGUCUAAUCUUCACCGCUCUCUUAUAUAAACAGAAACCAGAUAUAUAUAGAUCUUAAACACCAUUUUUUUUUUUACUUUCCUUUUUGUUCGAUGUUUUUUAGCUUAAAUUCCCACAAUCAUAAUCCAAAGAUCUAGAUUGAACAGAGGAAAAUAGACGAUCGAUCUCGCAUAUACAUAUCGAAACAAUACGACUGUGAGUAAUUUAAUUGGAAAAUGGGUUCAAUUCCGCCUGAACUGAGCUUGGAUUUUCGGCCACCUUCAACGAGAACAGUAACAACCACCACCGUUACAGCUGCUGCAUCAGAAGAACAGAGUUGUUGUUAUGUCCCCAAGACGAUCGACGAGCUGGUUGGACAAGUGUCAAUGAUCGGUAACGUAGCGGAGAAGCUGUUAAAGCUUGAUGAUUAUGUGACGAAACUUGAAGAUGAAAUGAAGAAGAUCGAUGCUUUCAAACGUGAACUCCCUCUUUGUAUGCUCCUCCUCAACGAUGGUCGGUUCUCAUUAUCCUUUUUUUAAAAAUUGUUUUCUUUUUUGAUUCGUAGAUGUCAUGGGUCCUCCCUUUUACUCUUUCCUUUUCCUUCUGUUUCUGUUUGUGAAUUUUAGAAGGGGGGGGAGGGGAAGGAAGAAUGAGACUCGAACACUUGUUUUAAGAUGAGAAAGAGAGACUGCCAAACCAUUUCGUUGGAUUCUUGAUGUCCUUUUGUUGCUACAAUUUUGUGGAGGAAAUGAAAUGUUUGUCCUGUUUUGAUUUCACGAGCUAUGUUGGAGAUUGGAGGGAAUACUGAUGACGUUCUGGAGAUGGGUUUAAGAGUUUGAUGGUUUUGAUUGAAGGGUUUAUGAUUUAUUUAUUAAUUUUGGUUUGGGUUUUAGCAGUUCUGAAUGACUUUGUGGUUGUUGUGGUUGCAGCAAUUAGGACUUUGAAAGAGGAAUCGACGAAGUAUAAGGCAAUGGAUGCUGGACCAGUGUUGGAAGAGUUCAUUCCUCUCAAGAAAAAUUGUGAUGAAGAUGAGAAAUCGGAAAUGGUUGUUGAGACCAGCAAAAAAGAUAAGGACUCCAGAGAGAAGAUGAGUUGGAUGAGUUCUGUGCAGCUCUGGAAUAGUGAUAACCCUGCCUCCAAAAGUGAUUUUGACAUUAACGAGGCACAAUCUAGACCAGAAACCAAAAAGGUACUUUAUUAAAUAACUGAAUGCAUAUUGAUUAUGAAAGGUUCAUGUUUGUUAUUGUUAACAAUAUGUUUUGUUUUGGAAAUUCAGAGAGUCGUGGAAGCAGAAAUCCAGGAGGAUUUGUUCGAGUCUUGUAAAAAUGGGAGCGUAGCAAGGGCAUUUGUGCCUUUCCAGGGGUGUUCUAGUCUACCUGUGAUGAUAACAAGGAAGGAAAAUGAGUAUGAAUUACCAGGGGUAGUACCUGGGCUUUCGCUUCAAACUCCUGGGACUAAGAAACUAAAGGAGGACAUUGGCUCUGGCGGGUUAAAUUCGAGAGUUGGUGGCAGCAGAGCUGUUUCUUGUUCUGUAUCCAGCGUUCAGUCAAAUGUAAGGGCGGCUGUGUCUCAGCAACAGCAGCAAACUUCUAGAAAGCAAAGAAGGUGUUGGUCACCAGAGUUGCAUCGUAGGUUUGUCGAUGCCCUGCAAAAGCUUGGAGGUUGUCAAGGUUAGAACUUGAACCCCUUGUUGCUGCUUUUGAUGUGAUUUAACGCGUAGUUUUGUCAGUGUUUUGUCAUUUUGCUGCAACUGUUUUGUGCUGAAUGUCAGGACUGAAAUCUAGUGAUGACAUUAGAAUACCGGGGAAGAUCUAUGUAAAACAGACAGCUAUAUUCCAUUUGGAUGAUGUUGUGUGUCGUUUCUUGAUUGCAUUACUUCUAGGAUGAAUGUCGAUAUUGCUGAAGAGCUACACCACCUGUAAAUCAUAACUAGAGCACUUCAUUAACACACACUACUGUAUUUUGCUGGAAUUAUGACUAAUCCUCGUAGAAUUGCCGUUGAGUAUCUCUUGUACUUGGAUUGUAGAUUUUACCAAGUCUUUUGUUGAUCACACUCGUGCCUCUAACUUGAUUUUUGGAACCUCUGCAGCUGCUACGCCUAAGCAGAUUAGAGAGCUUAUGCAAGUCGAUGGUCUCACAAAUGAUGAAGUUAAGAGUCAUUUGCAAGUGAGUUUGAAAGUUAGAUACACCUUCUUUUAUCAGAUUCUAACUUAAUUUAGGCCAUAAAGAUAAAGUGAUGCGAUAUGUUUGGCUAUUAUGGUUUCAGAAAUAUCGACUUCACACUCGAAGACUUCCGACCACUACAGGCACGUCUACAAAUCAACCUGUUGUUGUAUUAGGAGCUUUAUGGCUGCCCCAAGACCAGCAUGGUGAAUCAUCAAAGCAGAGCAACUCACAUUCUGGUUCUCCUCAGGGGCCUCUGCAGUUAGGUGGUGCCUCUAGAGGCACAUCAAUGACGGGGGGAGACAGCAUGGAGGAUGAAGAAGAUGAUAAAUCAGAGAGCCACAGUUGGAAAAGUCACAUUCGAACAUCGCAAAGAACUAAUGUAUAGAAGAUGUCCACCCUAAAUUUGCGGAUAGAAACAGAUACUAUAAUGUUUUGCAUACAUAUAAAUUGAUCUUGAAGAGUGGCUGUAAAAUUUUGCAGGAAUAGAUAUCCUUUUUGGCUUUUGAAUUUUUGGGUGUUCGAGUACGAUAUUGAUGUCCAUGUUUUGGUGCAAGGAACUCCGCGUAUACUCCAUUAGUUGAAUUCUGAAGAAACUGAAUCCCUCAGCAGAAUAUGAGUAUUCUAUUAUGGAUUGACAAUUCUUUUUUUUAAUAGUAAUUCCGAUUCCUUCGUCUAUUUUAUGACGCCACGGUUCUUUUUGUCUGAAUGAUGGGCUUUCUUUAUGUAGCUUGUUGUGUGAAACUGUGAAUUCUCAUCUUCUUCUGUAGCAAUCAAUCUUUUAAUUCAUAGCGCAUUAUUAUAGUACAAGUGAUAUUUGUUUAUCUUUCAGUUGAAGAGACCCAGGGAGAAGUUUCUGGUGGACAGAAAGAAAAAAAAAAAGGAUGCCUUUUAAGACUGGGCAAGACCAAACCUUCAAGUAGCUUUUGUCUACCACAAGGAAAGGCGUUGUUGGUCCACCUAUAUUGCUUGACCGGCAAUUCCGUGGUAUUAAAACGAACAGAUUCUCGACUUUGCUGAUUUGUUGAUAAAUUGACUUUUAAAUCAGGAAGAAAUAAAUAUAUGGUCCAGAUUUGAUUUUCAUGUCAAUUCUGUCAUCAACUUUCUUGCUUGCAGAUUAGUUAAUUUAGGCGAGGGUGGGGUGAGGAAUAAUGCAAUCAUACGCCCUGAAUGGGCUAUGCAGAUUCCUAAUUUGAAUUUAAUGAUUAUUCAAAGUCUUGGGUGUUGGGGAAGCAUUAUCCAAUAACCAUAUUGUAGGCCAAGAUUAUGAUGAUUUGCGAUUAACAACACCCGUUGAGACACAUUAACUUGAAAAAAAAGAAUCAUCGAAUCUUGUUCUAGUUGCUUACCAUUUUUUGUCGUAAGAUUAAAGUGAAUAUGCCUUUUUUGUGUAUAGUUCAUUGCAGGUGAAAAAAUUAUGCGACAUAAUAUUCCACCAUCUUCAGGCCACAGCCAAUUAUACCUUUCUCGGCUUUUUGGCCAAAAGCUUAAGAGCAGCCGAGCACCCCUUUCUAUUCUAAUCGGUUCACCGGACCAGGCCAAAGCCGAUUGGAAGGAAGUUUUCAGGCUCUUUCAAACUUUUUGACCAUGCAAUCAAGUGCUCGUCCGAACCACUGGGCCAAUGACUCAGUGGUCACCAGGAAGGGACCUAAGUCCUUCCUUGAGUUGUAAGUGAGGGUUCAAACCUCUAAGAGUUAUGCCAUAGCACUCCCUUGAUCUAGUUGGAUUUGUAUAUCCACUAGCCCCUACAACAGCCUCCUUAGGCUCCCCUCCCCCUAGAUUAGGAUAGAAUAGGUUAUACAAAUGUAUCGUUGCUGAUAAAAAAAAAAAAAAAUCAAGUGCUCGUCCGGGCACAUUCUUUUAAGUCCAUCGUCCCAUCUUCAAUUCUUCAUAAAGUGUACGAAAUUUCCGACCUCAACAUUUUAUGGUAACUAUCUACUCCUCUCUAAGUGCGUAGUAAACCGUGCGGUUUAAAACGGAGAGAGCAACCCCCAGCAAAGAACCGGUUCAGAGGGUCAAAUGUGUAAAAUGGGUUAGGUUAUAAACUCAUCUUUGGUAAACUGCAGUACUAAUCUGUUGAUGUUGUGCUUAUCCAUUACAGACCAGAUUGAUGACAAAAAAAGCAGUCCCUUUCGAUUUCACGAGACGAAUAAUAGCCCAAGAAUCUUAUAGUAGACAGGGAUAUCACGAGAGAUCCCACUUGACAGUGCCGUUUUUACUACACUACAAUAAUGUUAUUGGUUUUACAGUAGUAAGUGUUAAGAGGCGGUCUGGAUAAUGGAUUAAUAAUUUGAAAAGAUGGAACCGUCCAUUGAUUGGCUCCUCCUAGCGGCUGCUAAUCCUCCACUAGUGAGUAGCGAUGAUAUUCGCUUGGAUUCGUUGCGUCUUCGACUCAACUGCUCCUGUCUUUUCUUCUAGUGCUUAUUAUUAUAUUUAUGGAUGCCCGGGAGGGCGAACAUACGGAGAGAUUUGGCUGGACAAAGUUCAUUAAUUAUUCUGCUACAUGCAUGAAAAAAUACUAGUGGGAUAGCUUCUUCUUGUUACUACUCCACCGUACCUUGAAGCUUCCUUGUGCACAUUUUAAAAUGAAAUGAAAUAGUUAUUGAUUGCGAAUAUGCUUUGUAAUUAUAUGAAGAAAAACAAUUUGAUUCUUUGUAAUUGUAAUUUUUUCCCCCCAAACGUUAACAUUCUGCACCUACACUUAUUCUUAUAGUGUGGAGGGACUAAUGGGAAUUCCUUGCGAAGGAUGCUAUCAAGGGCAAUAUUACUAAUUUUUUUCUAAGUGUAAGUGAAAGGAUUUGAAUUCAAAAUUUCACACUUACACUCUCUUAUUUCAUAUCGUCCAAUCCAUCCCUCUCCCAAUGACAGGACGAUAUUGCUAAUAUUGCCAAUGAGACAUAUUGACAGUUCAGGAUCCUUUGACUCAUCAAGUAUCAGUUUUUGUCCCGCUUGAUUAGCAAGUAAUAUACUAGGAUGUUUUCGUGGACAUAAUUAUGUAAUGAGACACCUAUAAAUAUCUCACUAAAUGGUGUGUGAAGGGAUUCAGUCCUCCGGAUUACAAACUUUUGACAUCUUCUCAAGUUGUUCAAAUUAGUUCUUUUUUCUAUUCCAAUUUUUUUGUAGGAAAAGGAUAGUACGAGAAUCGUUGACGAUACCUUACAUCGCAUUGCUCCAUAACAGCCAGCCGGACGUGGAAGAAUUUUGAUGGUGCAUGACAGUUUUGAUUCGAUUCUUCCUCAGGCACCCCCAUCAACAGGUCUACAUGCCUUGUCUUGAAUUCUUGAUUCGCAUCUCCGGCUAUUGAUAAGCAAACAAGCGGCGCAUACAUACGUACGUACAAGCGGAUAAGUGUAUACUUGAAAAACGAAAAGGGAUGUGCAUUUACGAGUCGGACCGCUUCCUCAUUUGUCAGUUUCGAUUAGAAGGAAAAAGUGAGAGAACAUGCAAAGGCUAAUGCAUUUUGCUCCUCCUUGUUCUUCUUUUCUUUCUUGUUUGGAUCUUUUGAUGCAAGGCAUAAUACAUUUGCUAGAAUCUGCAAAAGAUCUUGGCAUGAGUGACAAGACGAAUCCCGUAUUAAAAACUGGUGGGAGCAACUAUUGAAAUCUAGUACAGCGGACUGAUUAGUUUGGAGGAUGUUGUGUUGCUUAUGUUACCCUAUCUGAUAGAAUCGUAAAGCCAAUAUUAAUAUUUUCUGUACUAUUUGCUAGUCUCAUUGUCGGAAAAUCUCGACGCAACGCAAAAGGCUACAGUAAAUAUGAGACCCUCCUUUGUCUCUGGUUUGUCACUUUGCAAUGAAGAUUGCUGCUUUGCUUUAUUUCGACCGUUGACAUUGACCGCACAGCGCUUUUAUACAGUUUGUACUCGGAAAGUUCGUGGUAAAAUUUCUACCAACCAAAGAAUCAAAUUCAGUAAUUUCUAUCAUGUCUUGAGAAACCUUUUUGAAAUUUUUGUCAAAAAAUUAUUAAUAUAAUAUAAUAUAUAUAUAUAAGAUAAAAAUAUAAUUAAAAAAUAUUUCAAAAAAAAGUCCGAUUGUCACCAAAACUGACAAUCAAACAGGACCUUUGGUUAGCAUUAUUGUGUCCAAGAACAAUCGGCACUCAGUCUCAGUAGUGCUUAUCUGUCUUCACUUUCACAUUCUACAGUCACUUGGUCUUCCUCAGGGUUUGCUCUCCGUUUCUAAAUUGGUAUCUUAGUUUUUUUUUUUUUUAAAGUGUAUGUGAUAUAAAGGUAUCAAUCGGGCUUUUUUCGGCGAGCUUUAGUAAGCUCAAUUUCGACUUACAAAUUAUAUGAUUUUUGGAUUCAAACUUUUGGAUUUCGGAUUCAUAUUGAAAGGUUCGGUUCAAGUUUAGUGCACACUAUUAUAUGAGUUUUGAGCUCAAAUUAGAUUUGAUUCAAACUCAUCAUUAAAUACAUAAUUAAUAUAAUUUUAUAUAUAAAUUAUUAACAUUUUAGAUCGUAAUAUGUAUAAUUAUCAGUUAUAGAUAUUAUUAUAUAUAUUUUACAUAUACAAGUAUACUCAUAUAUUAAUCGGACUUUAAUCAGGUCUGAAUCUAGUAUGAUCCAAAAUCGACUCAAAUUUAAUUUGAAUUUAAUAUUUAGAUUCAAACUCUACUUGAUCCGGUUAAAGUUUAUAAGCCUUUUCAGAUCAAACGGGUGGAGUUCGGGCUAACCGGGCUCUGUUCACCGUCCUAAAGUGGUAUCUUAUGCCUUGUUUGGACAGCAAUUUUCUAAAGAAAAAUUGCUACAUUUUCCGUGAACACAUUUUUCAAUCACCUUUUUACCUCACAUAUAUCAAAUUGUUACAGUAAUUUUUCUACAAAAAAUCUAGAAAAAUGCAAUCCAAACACAACCUUAGUUAAUUGACUUGUAGGAAAAAAGAUAGGUUGGUAUUCGUAUUCAAGAUGAUUACUUUUUCAUCCCCUUCAUCCAUUGAUUACUCAUGUAUUGGCAAAUUGGUGGGCCCAAGGAACAUGUACCAGAAAGUACGUUUCGCCUUGGAAACAUGAUGGUCCGAUCGUAUGGUUGGUCUGGCAAAGUGUUUCACGUAUACUUUUCAUUGAGACCGCCUACUAAUUAGCCGAACAAGAUAAUGGUACUUGCAAAAGCACCUUUUGUGUAGAACAAGGGACACCACAAAAUACUCGAGUCUUUAUGGGUGAAAAUUUAAGGAUUUAAAUUUUAAAUUUUAUUAUUUUAUCGUUAAUAUGUAGCUUUUUGAAAUUUAUACGAGUGCAUAGGACGUAUAUUUGGUCCGACGGUGAUUUAAUUUACAUCUGUUCUUUAAUAGCCUAAUUGAUUCCUCUUAAAAUAGAUUAAAAUAAAAGUAGAUACUGACGAUUGAUGAAAAAAAAAAAGGGGUUUAGAACAAGUGAUAACAUAACCUUUUUUUUUUUCUUUCUUUUUUAGGAAACGACGUCACCUUCAAGUUUCAACAACAAAGAGAGGACCUUUUUCGGUGAGAAUUGAAUGAGUUUCUAAGGCAAGGGGCAAAGAUUAGUUCGCUUUUUCCACGUUAGACCGAGUCAAGCCAGCUCUAAAUGGACAGACUUUUUCGCACUUUUCUCACAUCCAACUUGUAGCUGUGGAGUUUUGGUGUAAACAACCCAAGCUGCACCCCCGGCAGGCAGAGACACAAUCUUCGGCCCGUCUGUCUCCAAUAAUGCUAGCUAGUAGGUUCAUCAAAACGAGCCGAAAUUGGGUGUGUUGAAAUUGGGCCAGGCCUAAACUUCAUCUAAUUCAAAUGUGUCCAGCAGGAGAUGGAUAAGGAGCUAGUUCUCCUCCCCUGAUGAUUUUUGUCUGCGUCGUUACAUGCAGAGAGAGACAAAAAGGCGGUAGAGCCACGUGUCACUGGUCUACAGUAGCUGAAACUACUAAGAUCUCUCCUAGCCUUUAAAAAAUGGGUCAAACCCAUAACACAAGCAACGGUGGUCAGGUGUAAGAAAGGGGGGCCAUUUUGGACACGGCAUUUGUGGUAUUAAAUAUAAAAAGUGGAAGAUGCAGUUACUAGACUUGAGGAGAGAGCGGCAAAUUCCCCGGCUCCAAUAGCUCCGGCUGAGGCCUUAACCCCUUCCCCCCCCCCCCCCCCCCCCCCCCCCCCCCCCCCGAUAGAGUGACCAAAUGCAAUUUACAUGAACUUGAAGUUGGGGAAGAAAAAGUACGAUUAGGGGAUUUUGUUCUUAAACAAGAUCAACCAGGAGAAUAUCUUCAAAUUCAUUGACACCAUUACUGAGUAACUCAUACAUACAUAUAUAUAUAUAUAUAUAUAUAUAUACCAAAAUGGCAAAGGCACGUCCCGACGAGAAAUAUCAAUUACAAGGAUGUGUGACAAUUCAAGAUCAACACUAUAACAAGGACAUCAUUGCUUGCGGCGCUAGCGGCAUCAAUGCCUUCAAAUUCAAUGCAGAUGCACCUGCAUUUGUGCCCAGAGCGCCCGUGCCAGCUCCUCCUCCAGCAUCUGUGCCCGUUUCGGGCUAUUUCCUUCCCUGUUUCCCAAUUUUUGGUGGGACUAACGGGACUGAUUGGUUAUUUCUUGGUGACCAGGAUACCAUUUCCUUGGUUUCGAAAUCCAAUGCCACCUCGCCCACGCAGCAAUCCAAACAUGUUCUCACUGAGGAGCUUCAAAAGAAAAUUAUCAAGCAGGUUUUCUUCUUCUUUUUUUUUUCCUUACAUUUUUCUUUCUUUCUUUCUUUCUUUUUUUUCUGGGCAUAGCAUUUCUUGUUGAGGGGUUUUUUUUUCUGUGUAAUAGAUGGAAUAUCAGUUCAGUGACAUGAGCUUAUUGGCAAAUGAUAACUUGGCCAAGCAGAUUUACAAGGACCGUGAAGGCUAUGGUAAGGAUCAUCAAUCAAUAAAUAAGACUUUGCUCAGCCUGUAGCAUCCCGUAUUAACACUAUAUAUAAUAGCUAUAUAUACGUUUUCUGAUUAAUGCCCAUUUGCAACAGUUCCAAUAGCUAAUGUUGCAUCAACCAAGAAAAUUAAGUCCUUUGUUGGUAGUAAUCAUCAAUUGCUGGCACAGGCUCUUUGGGCCUCUACAAAACUGGUUGGUUCUUUUAUGUUAUUGCUCUAUCUUUUGCCCGAAUACAACACAAUAAAAGUAGCUACUGCCUUUCAAUUGAUCCUUUAUGGAGUAUAUUAAUAUUUUUCUGCCUUUCAAUUUCCGUGUUCCGCAACUAGGAUGUAAGUAAUGACGGUAAGAGGGUUAAACGUAAGGUGCCAUUCACCGACAAAGUGAAAGAGGAGCUGCAGGUACGUACGAACCUGUUUUUCUCUGGUCUCUAAUUUCUCAAUUUUCUUUUUUUUUUUUCAGUAUUUUUCUGGGAUCAAGGUUGUAAUGGUUUGUUCACCUCUGUCUCAUUACAGCUGCGGACUAUUGUAGCUGAAAAUCUACCUGAUGAUCACUCCCACCAAAACAUUGAGAAAAUUUUUAAUGUGGCCGGAUGGUGGGUUUUCAACCUCCUUUCCUUUCAUCUAUGGCAACAUUACCGUAGCUCUAGUGCGCAAUGGCAUUAAAUAGAUGUAUUUUUGUUCCGUCACAGCGUGAAAACGAUUCGGAUAUGCCAUCCUCAGGACCCUAAUACUCGUUCGAAGGGAGAUUUUAUUAUCAGUACUAAGGUACAGAAAAAUCCAGUUUCGUUUGAAUAGAGAUGAAUCUUCUUGAUUGGACAUUCAACAAUGUGCUUGACUCUUGUGCUUUUUCUGGUGUGGGUCUCGAAAGCUUCAUGCGUUAGUAGAGUUCGAGAAUAGUGAAUCAGCUGAGAGAGCGGUAUGUUAAUUCACUUUGACCUUGCUGUUGUUGUCUUUCUUCCUUUUUAGAAAAUUUUUUUGGGGUCCCCUUUUUGCUCAUUUUGCAGCAUUUACCACCGGGAUUUAUCUCGUCAGGUUGAAAAACUCAAUGACCAAAAGAAUUGGAGAAAAGGCCUACGCGUCAGGUGCUUGCUAAGACGAUCGGUACGUUUAAUCAACCGGUUAUUUGACUACCACAUCUCUAAUUCUCGUGUUCUUUUCCCCUACCACAUGAAUUUGAGGUUUCUUGUAUAAAUGGGACUUUUUGCAGCCAAAGUCCGUCCUGAAGAGCAAGAAGUCAGAGUUUGAUGGUCUUUUAGAUGAUGAUGAGACACCACCAGGAUCCAGCGUAGUAUCACCUGAACUGUCUCCUCGCCCAAUUAUCUCGGAUUCACCUCCAGAAAAUAACGUUAGUUCCCUUCUUCUUAUACCGCUGAAGUUUUUACACCUUGUUGGCAAUUGAACUGAAUGUCCAUCUUCAACAUAAAGCUCGGUUCAUAAAAUAGUAUACUUGCAUAAGCCACUUUGCCGUAGCCAAUGCGUCCAUAAUCAUCUUUCAACAUUAUAUAUUACUAUAUCACAGUCAUUCUUCGAGAACAUCUUGGCGGUUUAAUUUCCUCCGCGCAUGCUAAAACAACCAGGGCACUGUUAUUCUUGAAGCAAAUGGCAGUGCAAAAGCUAAUGAUUUUUAGCUUUGAUAAAUUUUGUGAAGGGUUAUGAAAGUUCAGGCGCAUCAAAGACGAAAGCAUGGAACAAAGGGCGUGGCAAACCUCGACACCGUCUUACCAGUAGUCACAGUGGGCGCGGCUUGCUCUCCUUGUCACCACAGUCGAAUAACGGCAUCUUCAUCCUUGGAGAGGCACCAUUGACAAGGCAAAAUGCAAAGGGUCCUAAAAUGCCAGACGGAACCAGGGGUUUUACCAUGGGCAGGGGGAAGCCAAUCAGUGUCUCUGUUCCCAUCCAGACUUGUCAAGCUGUGGUGUAAUUGAUGCUUUUUCUACCCAAUUUUGCAGCAUUACCACUCUUAGCUAAGUGUACAAAAGUUUGGCAACUUUUUUUUUUUUUUUGGCUGGAGAGCUAAAGAAAAUGUAGUCAAUCAACAAUUGUACGAGGACUGUUCAGCCAUCUACCAAUAAGCACAGCUGCACGAAUACAUCAUGGCAUGCGAGAAUCAAGAUGAUUACCAAGCUGCACCAAAGCUUUAUUUAUCUCAGCUUUCCCUUGGUUUGGGAAAUAUGUGUCUUAAGAAAAUGAUAUUCCCUCCCCCUCUAAUUGUGCCAAAAAAAAAAGAAAGAAGAAGUUUGUGUUGUUCAUUCUAUUAUUCUUUAUGAGAAUAAAAGAUUGUAUUUAAUUUGUUUCCAUAAAACAUUGUUAAUCUUUGAGAAAUGUAAGUUUCUCAGUUUUGUUCUCGUAUCACAGAAUGGCACAUGCUGCUGCUCUCUUGCUUUCUAUACUAGCCAGAAAUAUAUCAUUUGCCUUUUAUUGCUAUAUACUUCCGGUUGCUUUCAAUGGGGCUUGACGGGCAAAAUGAAUCGUUUUUCAUCUAAACUUCUUUUGAUUUCCCAAUUUGCCAUCUGGGCUUUAUAGUUUUCUAAUAAGAGUCCUACAGUUAAAUUAUUCAUCAAAUUCUUGACACAGUUUUCACGUAAUAUGCACGAAGAUAGCAAAUUCAAAUUGAUAUUAUUGAUUUUGGAGAAAGUUAUGAGCUUAGACGGCAUGAAUUAUUAUCGUUCCUUGACUAAGUAGGUCACCAUAAGACGCAUGAUUCUUAUAUCUUGUCAUGUGGUGGAUGAAUUUAAGUAUUGGUCUUGUUCCUUCUCACAUAACCUUUGAUCGCACUAUUGUUUUUUUUGGUACAUGUUUUUGCCAUCUACUUUUAUCGUUGACUUGCAAAAGAUUCCUUACAGUGUUAGCACGAUAGUGUUGGAAGAGGGGCAGGUCCUGCAACAAUUCUGACAGUUCAUGGCCAAGAAAAUAUAUGAUUCAGAUUUUAUCUCGUACCUUAUUUUUAACACCAAGUGUGGGGCUCACGAAAUUUUGUUCUAUAAUUACACGUCGUUGAAAGUGAGUUACGCCGUGUGUAUUUUGCACAAAACCGCCCUGAACAUUUUCCUGGUAACCGUUCGGACCCUUGUCCGAUAGUUUUCUGAUAUUCUUUACAUCAUUGCAACACACGAUUUAAAUGUGGUAUGUUUAUUAUUCUAGUUCUCUAACUGAGUUGAGUGCUACCUUUUUAUCUAGUAACAAACAGCACUUCAGAAUCCUGAUGAUCUCAGUGAGAUAUAUAGCCUAAGCAAAAAUCGUACACCUGGAGUUUCUUUCAAGAAAACCCGGCACUGUACAUUGUAUUGCCAUUUUCUGCAGUGAAUUCUUUAUCCAUUGCUCCUGCUUGCUGGCUUUUUUGUCACCUUUAUUGGUGUAGUAGUGGAGCUCUUUAGGUUUUAUAAAUCCCUCGACCUUAUCCUACUUAAUUGAAUAAAGACUCGAUUGACUUACAAUGGCUCUGGAUCUAUCAUUAAGGGUUAGCCAGUUUCCUUGAACUUGGAAAAAUCAUCUUUUAUUGAGGAAGGUCUUAUCUGAUUAAUUUGUAGGACAGGAAAUGUUUACACACUGUCUGACUAAAAACAUUACACCAGAUCCCAAUGGAAAUACAGUCAUCCACAUUCUUAGACAUACUUGUGCUUGAGGUAAGGUUGUAUGACGUGAUGUGAUCAUAAAAUAGCACGCGCGGUUUCAUUAACUUUAACCUUGGAAAUUUGUUUAUUCUCGACAAAUUUCUCAUCCAAAAUCCAAAUUUUUUGUACUGACUGCCAAAAAAAAUUUCCACUGUGUUUGAAGAAUAUUUUUUUCUGCCUUAAUCUCUGCCUUGCUAAAUCCUCUUUUCUUAGAAGUGCUUACAAUUUCCCGGCAUUAUCUAAUCCUCCUCCAGCUGAUGAAUUGCAAUAGACGAAAUCUGAUUGAAAGUUAUUAUGGUGCACCUAUCUUCAGUAAUAUAUUGACUAAACAACAAACUGAGGCUACAUGGCCACUAGACAGUCAGGACAUAGUGGUAAGACCACUCCAUAACCUCCCACCAAUAAUCAAACUCCAAUAGCCGUUGUUUCUCUUAUAUAAACUGCAGCAUCAUCUUAUUGCACUCACCACUGACUGCCUGCUCAAAAUAUCUGAUAUUCAAAAGCUAUGGCCAGUAAAACCUUGUCCUACCUUGGUAUCUUCUUCUGUAUGAUGUUCUUGUUUGAGCCCUUAGCUAAUGGCCAACUUGAUUAUAACUUUUAUGAUGAUUUGUGUCCUAACUUGCCUAUGAUGGUUCGUUGGGGUGUUUGGGCAGCUCUGAGAAAUGAUACCAGAAUGGCUGCAUCCCUGCUUCGUUUGCAUUUCCAUGAUUGUUUCGUGAAUGUAAUUCCCAUUACAAAUGAGAUCAUUUUCACCUGAUUAUGUCUAUGCAUGCUUUUCAUGGUUCGCCAUAAGCACCUGACUAUGUCUAUGGAUACUUUUCAUGGUUCGGUUUCGAUCAAGUUUGUGGCAACCGAUCAAUCUUAUUUUGAAGGAGGGAUAACCAUUCUUGGUACCAUGUACUGGCGGUUACAGCUAUUACAUGCGAAGAAUUCUUUUUCUUUACCCAUAAAGUAGAACAAGAAAAGGCCGUGGUUUUUAUUUAUCAGCUGCACUUUUCUCUUAACAGAAUCCUCUACAAGUAGGCCCUUAAUAGUUCAUUUUCUAGCUGGUGCUAAAGCUAGUAGCAUUUUGCCUAUUUGUGUAAGUAACAGAAUUCUCCAGCCCCGUUUCUAACAGCAUUCCUGUAAUUUAUGUUGUAUUUCCAAUUUCCCAUCCUUUGACUCCACAAAAAAUACUGAAAUCAUGCAGACAACACCUUUCCUUCUGCAUUCAGUUUAGAAGGUAUCCAUUCAAAGUCCAAAUAGGAAGAAAGUAUGUUUUCCACUAGAAGUAACACGAAGGAAAGAAUUAUGUAGGUUGGAGUUGCUCAAUAGUGCAACUUAAAAAUUUCUAGUGAACAAUAAAAAGUCCAGGAAAUACAAAGUACGCAUUUGCAAUUUGAAAGUACAGUGUUUUUAGUUCAAUGAGAACAUGUUAUACAAACAAUUUCUCUUUAGUUGUCUGACCAAGCUAAAAUAAUUGGGUGAACAAGAUAUGUUAGUCUUCACAGCUAAAGACUCUUGCAUUUGUGCAUGGAUUAGGGAAACAUCCAAUGGAGUUUUGCAAUUGAUUGUCCAGAUUAUGUUAGAAGGAAUAGUUCAGUUUGAUUUACUUGACAAAUUGCAACAUGACAAAAUUUAUAGUUGUCCGGUGCAUUUAAACGCCAAAGACUACUUCAUCAUGAAAUGUUAUAGAUUGCUUAAUGCUGAUAGAACAGAAUGUUCUAUACAGGGUUGUGAUGGUUCAGUGCUUCUUGAUGAUACUCCAAAUUUCAAAGGCGAGAAGAAUGCUUUGCCGAACCGAAAUUCAGCUCGAGGAUUUGAGGUCAUUGAGAGCAUUAAAGCAGAUGUUGAAAGAGCUUGCCCGUCAAUUGUAUCAUGUGCUGACAUAUUAGCUCUUGCAGCUAGAGAAGCUGUCAUUCUGGUAAGGAUCAAAGUUUUAGUCGAAGUCAAGCAUGCUCAUUCCACAUCCACUGACUAAAGUUUCCCUAAUACACUUUUUUUUAAUUCAUUAUUUAGUCAGAAGGGCCUUUCUGGCCUGUUUCCUUGGGUCGCAGAGAUGCAUUAACAGCAAGUACGAAAGCAGCAAAUGAGCAGCUACCAACGCCUUUUGAGUCUCUAGAUAACAUUGUUGCAAAGUUUGCAUCAAAUGGUCUCGACUUAAGAGAUGUGGUAGUUCUCUCCGGUAGUAUUACUAGAUCCGCUUCUCUCAAUUCUGAUUUUCAAGAAUGAUAUCUCAAUUGCUUUCUGAUUCCUCUAUAUGCUUGAUCUAGAUAAGCUCAUUGUUUCUUUGCGAUCUAUAUGUACACAGGAGCACAUACUCUUGGUUAUGCUCAAUGUUUCACAUUCAAGAGGAGACUGUUUGACUUCAAAGGCUCCGGUAAGCCAGAUCCCCUAUUGGAUGCUUCAAUGGUUGCAUCCCUGCAAGCCACUUGUCCAAAUGUAGACGAAUCAAAUAGCAAGCUAGCUCCUCUGGAUGUCCAGACGGUUUACAAAUUCGAUAAUGCAUAUUACAAAAACCUGAUGACCAACACGGGGCUCCUGGAAUCUGAUCAAGCAUUAAUGGGGAAUCCAAAAACAGCAGAGAUGGUUAACUUUUAUAGCACGUACCCCUAUCUUUACUCGAGAGAUUUUGCUGCAUCCAUGGUGAAGCUUGGAAAUAUUGGGGUGCUCACGGGCCAAGACGGACAAAUCCGCAAGAAAUGUGGUUCUGUAAACUACUACUACUAAAAGAUUAUGCUAGAGGCCUGGAAUGAAAAGGGCAAGUAGGUCUGCUUGUAUUGAAACUUAUUACUACUUUAAAGCUCUAGUUGUGGAUGACUGCAAGAAUAAGUAUUAUGUUCUUGACGACAGGAUAGAAUAUUAGUGGAUAGAUAUCUAUGAUUUAACAUUAACUUAACCCCUAAGAAGCAUUAAAAGCGGCAAUCAACAUAAUUACCUUUUUCUUUCCCUUGAUAAAGCACUAAUGCAACUUUUUCUUCAUAAAAAACCAAAAUGAAGAGUGAUGAAGAUAUCUAACUUACCCCAGUUCUCCGCCUUAAUUAGCUAAUUUUUAUAGUUGCAUCAUCUUGCGCGUGCUUAAAUUUUUAAUCCAUGAUUGACGUCGUUAUGGUUAAGGCGUCCAAUCUUUUGGUUUGAUGCUGUGUUAGUAAUACUUAUGUGAACUACUUACAUAGUCACUGCUCUCAUUGCCAUGCAAGGGAGGUUACUAAAACGAAAACAUAACUCGAAAGUUCGUUUCUUUCAAUCAUAGCAAGGUCUCCAAGACGAACCUGUACGUACAAUUUGGUCAAAAUUUAUCACAGUGAGUGUCCAGAACUGAAGUUUGGAAGUUUGUGAUUUGCAGAAAAGAGAGAAUAAGAGUGGAAAGCAUAUAAAUUCAAGAGAAAGCAGACAAGAAAAAACCGGUACCCGAUAUGAGAAAACAGAAAUAAGUAGCAAAGCCCGGACCACUGAUCCGGACUGACUAAACCUUCGUACUAUUCAAUAUUCUGGAUUCAUGGGUAUCUCUGUUGUUAUUGUCUCCGUCUGACUAAUAAAACAGAAGCAUCUCUCUCUCUCUCUCUCUCUCUCUCAGUGCAUGCAAUCUUGUGCCAUACAUAAACUUUUUGUGUUCAAGAUUAAAAAGUUUGCUAUACAUACAUGAUACAUGACAUGGGUAUAUUCAUAGUGGCUAUAUGGCCGCCUCGCAAACCCCCCGGCGUUUCGAUUCCUGAGUGCUUGACUGAUCUCUCGGCUUUCGUAUCAUCCUAAUUUUCUUUGAUUUAUCGCCUUUGAAGCUUUCUCAAUGGCUUCAUACCUUAACAGACAACCAAGCCUACAUAGCAAUUUCAGAAUAUGGUAAGGAGAACGAGUACUCUUUGUGUGUAUUUGGAAGUUGAAAAGACGAGAGUCACAAAAUAGCAGUACCAAUUAUUUUUAGAAAGUUUCAGCCAUUUAUUCUUUGUUUUUUUGUCGACACAGGGGUGUCCGGUCAAUCCUUACGGGGCCCGACUAAUCCCCUGCGGCCCGGGCCCAGCGCCCCAACCCGGCCUGAACAUGUUAAGUGCGCGGAGGAAUCCAGCGGAACGGAGACUCGAACUUGUGACCUCAAGGUUCACUGGUGAGAGGCGCUGCCGCUGAACCAUUCACGCGGGGGCUUUAACCAUUUAUUCCUGCCUCCUCAUAUAUAUAUAUAUAGUAUUAGACAAAGUAAUCCUUGAAAAAAGCGGGGGAAGGUUGGGCAUUGUUCUCUCUUUUUUUUUUCCCUUGUCUUUAGUAGGAUACUAGAGCAAGUAGGAAAUCCGAUUUAAUAACCAGUUGUUCUGCAUUAGACAUUUACUGCAUUAGCAGGGACGGAGCCAGAAAUUUAUUUUUGGGGGGGCUGAAGUGUAUUAAAAAAAUUUUUUUUUGACGAAAUAAAUAUAUUUAAUAAGUAAAAUUUAGAAUCAAUAAUUAUAAAAAUAAUAAAAACAUAUAAUUAUACAUACCCAAAAAUUUGUUAUUGAUUAACACUUGAAGUAUUGGUAGUUGUUGCACUCGAAUAACGAAGAGGAGGCAAUUGCAUUCUGCGAGUCUUCAUCCGUUGAAAACGCUGCAAUAUUUGCUCAUUUUCAAUUGUUGCAAAAAUAUCCUUCUCGAUGUAUACAACCAAACAGUCAUUCAUCCACUCGUCUCCCAUUUUGUUGCGCAAAUCAGUCUUGACAAUAUUCAUUGCAGAAAAUACUCUUUCAACAAAAGCAGUCGCAACUGGUAGAACUAAUGCCAACUGGAUCAGACGAUAAACCAAUGGAAAAACUGUAUUUUUACCAGUUUUAACCAUUUGUUGAGCAAGACUUCCCAAAUCUCCAACUUCUGAAAAUUGAGGAUCGCGUUGCACAUUAUAAAUAUAAUUUCGAAGUUGAGACUCAAGAUAUAAAUAAUCGUUACUUGAGAAGUCUUCAGGAUAUAAAUCAGCAAGACGGAGUAGUUUCUGCACAUUGAAUUGAGAGAAAGAACUUUUUGGAUCAAGACAUGCUAUGCAACUAAGCAAUUCCGUGCUAACUUCCGAGAAACGAUUAUUCAUCUCUUGUAUAAUUAAAUCAACAACCUGACAUCACAACAAUAAUAAAAUUAAUAACUAAGAAAAUCUGCUAACAAGUAACAAAUGUAAUGAAAUAAUAAUUUCAAAAAUAAUACCUCACAAAAAAUUUCCACACGAUAAUGAUGAAAAUUAGUGAUGGUUUGACCUCUGCGACUGCGCCUGGCAUUGCCACGGAUUGCUAUACUGUCUUCCAUAUCAAUCACGGGAAUCAUAUUCAAUUCACAAAAAUUGUUGACUUCAUCUAAAAUUAUUUGCCAUCCCUCUUCCCUAAAGUCUUGCAAUUGAGAUUUCAUAGUAUCAAUCAAGCUCAUGGCUUGGACAAUAUUUUGAUCCCUUUGUUGCAAAACAAGUGACAAGUCAUUUGUGAUUCCCAAUAAAUACUUCAUCAGGUGCAAUGCAAAAACAAACUCAUAAUCAUUCAUUCUAUCAAUCAAACCCCUGGCCAUACCUCUAUUGUCAGAAGUGGUGGCAUCAUCUUGUAUAUUUCCCAAUAUUCCAAUCACCGAAGCCCACAUAGAGGAUAGACGAAGUAAUGUUAGAUAGUGUGAUCCCCAACGAGUAUCCCCUGGCCUUGCUAAACUAGUUUCUUGAUUUUUGCAUUUUCCACUAAUAAUAUCUCCACUGUCUAAAAGUGUAACAAUCUUAUCAUGUUCUAUUUGUCUUAAUUGAUCUCUCCUUUUACAUGAUGCUCCAGUUAAAUUGACAAUCAUAGAGACAUAAACAAAGAAUUCACUGACAAUGAUAUUUCCCUUAGCAACAGUAACAAUAACUAACUGGAGUUGGUGAGCAAAACAGUGAAUAUACAUCGCAUAGGGAUUUUCUUGUAAUAUAAGGGCCUUCAAACCAUUGAACUCACCUCGCAUAUUUGAAGCUUCAUCAUAUCCUUGACCUCUCAAUUUGGAUAAUGAUAAUCCGUGUUGCGCGAAUAAAGAAUCAAUUGCAUCUUUCAAACAAAGAGAUGUGGUGUCAGACACAUGUACAAUUGCAAGGAAACGUUCAAUCACACGCCCUUCUUUAUUCACAUAUCUCAAAACAACUCCCAUUUGCUCUUUCACUGAACUGUCUCGAGACUCAUCAACUAUUAGGGAAAAAUAAUUGUCUCCAAUAUCAUUGAUUAUAACACUUGUGAUCUCUGAGGCACAAGCAUGUGCCAGAUCUUUUUGAAUCAUCGGAGAAGUUAGUUGAUUAUUUGCAGGAGCAUUUUGAUUUACAACCUCAAAAAUCUCAGUAUUUCGCUGGCUAUACCACUCAAACAAUUCAAGAAAAUUGCCUCUAUUUGAAGAACUAGUUGACUCAUCAUUUCCACGAAAAGCCAAUCCUUGCUUCAAAAGAAAACGGGUCACAUCCAGAGCAGCAGUUAAACGGGUGCGAUAUGCAAUAUCUAUUUCGCGCCCACAAGAUCGUAGCACAUUUGACACACUAUGCCUUUGAUCUUGAAAACUUUCAAACUGUAUUCUAGCAUCAUUAUGGCAACUAUUCACAGCUCCAAUAUGUUCAUUAAAUCUUUCCAUUGCCUUUUUCCAAUUAUUGAAUCCCGUUUUUGUAAAGGCAUCCUCUGCAUAUCGACCUCCCUUAUUUUGUGUUUUGAAAAGAAAGCACCAAAAGCAAAACGCCGCAUCUUUCGAUAUGCUAUACUCUAACCAUACAAACUUUUGAUACGAACUAUCUUGGAAACUUCUAUGUUGUUUACCAAAUGAUGUUUUUGGAUACAUAUGGAUAUGGCCAAUCGGUUGGCAAGGUCCCCUAGUCAAAUACUCUCUUCGGACAUGGUCUCGAAGAGAAAUAUCAAAUUUCUCAACUGAUUUUCGUAAUCCCGGAUCACUAACAAUAUCAUUUAAAUUCAAUUCCACACAAGAUUGAUUUUGAACUGGUUCACUAAUAUUAGGCUCAUUUGAAGAUUCACCACUACGGACUCGUUUAGGUUUAAAUAAUCUCUCCAUUUUCUGUCACAAUUAAAUAAUUGUGGUUAAAUUCAAUAAAAUUAUGCAAUUCAAUAAUCAAUUAAUUUAAAAUUCAUAUAAAUAAUUCUUUAAUUUAAUAAUAAAUUCAUAUUACUUAUAUUUCUCAAUUUAUAAAAUUCAUUAUAUAAAAUUAUCAAAAAGUUAAAAUAAGGUACAACUAAAUACCCAUAUAAUCUCUAAUUCAAUCUCAUAAAAUUUUGAAUUUAUAUUUACAUUCAAAAUUUCUAAUUCACAUAAUUAAUUCUUAAAAUUUCAAAUAUAAAACUAACAAAAUUUUAAAAACUAAAUACAACCUAAAAUCUAUACAAUUUCUAAACUAAUUUCUAAUUUAAAUUUAAUAUCAUUAAAUUUUUUAAUGUAAUCUUUCAAAUUCUUAAAUUACAUUAACAUAAACUAAAUAAAAAUUAAUCUUAAUCAAAUUAAUAUCAAGAUACUCAAAAUUCAAAAAUAAUUUAAACAUAUAAUUAACAAAAAUAUAAAGAUGAAUAUUGUAAUUUAAACCAAAAAACUAACCUAAAAGAUUUAUGUGAAUGGAAUGGUGGAGAGUUGGAGUCUUGGAGCCUUGAAUUGAAGGCUUGAAGCAGGAUGGUAGAAUCUCAACUGAAGCUUCUUGGAGUUCUUGGAGCCUGGCGUCUUCUUCUUGGAGUUGGAGUCUUGUUUGCCCUUUGGCACUGGCGGCGUGCUUUUGCAUCAGAUGAAGCCUUAGGAGUUAGGGCUUCAUCUGAUGUAUUUUUUUUUUCCCCUCAUUAUACAAAACGACGUCGUUCCACUAAAAGUGAAACGACGUCGUUUUGUAUUUAGAGGGCAAAAAAAAAAAAUUCAAAAUGAAAUGGGUCAUCUUCUUCCUCAGCAGUCAGCACGGCAGCGGCUUUCCAGCUCUUCUUCACUUCCUCUGCAGCAUUCAUGGAGCCAUGGAGGAUGGUAGAUCUGGAUCACCGUGGGGGGGCUGGGCUGGCCGCCGGAAUCCCCUAUAUAUAGGGGGUUUUCCGGCGGCUUGGGGGGGGCUUAAGCCUCCACCAGCCCCCCCUUAAAUCCGUGGCUGUGCAUUAGGGGACACAACAUUGAUGACCUGAAAGGGUUGGUUUCAGAACUAAGAAGGAGAGAAGUAAAACAUUAUUCUCUCUUGGAAGCUGGCAACGGCCAAAGUACAACCAGCUGCACUUUUUUUUUUUUUUUCUUUUUUGAUACUGUAGCUUCCUACGUUAUAGGAAGGGGAGGGCAUGAAGAGGUCCAGUGAUAAUUCGGAGGGAACCGAACCAUCACCGAACCAGAUGGGUGCACUAAUGCAUUGGUGGUGGCCACCAGAUCUUAAUGCAUGUGGUUAUAAGCAGUUGCACUUCACUGGUGCAUGACAUCCUUCGAUUUUUUAUACCAAAGUGUACCGAGUAGAGUGGAUCCCUUUAGUACGUAGGUGACAUUCUCUCCUUCUCACCUCUCUGGUAUAGGUUAGACCAAGAGUAAUAACAAGAAUUGAUUAUUGACAAUAUAUAUAUAUAUAUAUAUAUUUUUUAUAUUUUUUUCCCUCACAAAGAUAGAAGCUUUCUUCUAGUGAUCUAUUAAUCACACUUAAUAAAGCAGGCCACUCUCCAAUCUCUCCCCUUGGAUUGAAGCUUGGCUGACUACGACUCUUUUUCAUUUUGUAUUUCCCAUGUACUGCAUUAAUUAUGAAUUACACCUUCCCUCUCAAUAAAAAAGUGCCGUGUUUUUUAUUUUGAAAUGUUUCAAAAUAUUUGUUAUCUUAUUAAAAUUAAAGUUAUUUUUUAUCUUGGAAUGUUUCAAUGAGUUAUCCUAGCAUUUAUCAUUCAAAUUUGAAAUUUAAAUUUUUAAAAAUAAUUUUAAAAAUAAAUUUAAAAAUAAAUUCACUGAUAUCACCAUCGAGUCGAGUCAUUAUUUAUAAAAGGUCGAAAUUUUGAAAUACCACGGACAACUUGGGACGAGGGUAGUAAUUGGACGUGGGGAGAAAUAUAAUCCUGAGGUCCGAAGCGGUACUACAACAGUCUCAUCAGUGGUCCCAACCAAACUAAGAAACCUGGGAAAUAAAACAGAGAACGAGCAGAGUAACAGAGAAAAGAAGAGAAUCGAUCGAAUCCCAAUUUGUCCGAGACUUGGCUUUCAUUUCAAAGCAGGCAUUAAAGGUCGAACAUAUACCAUCCCAAUUCCCAUGGUCAAGAUCCAACGAUUAUUAAAGUAAUUAGUCAUCAAGAAAAUUUUAAAAUUUUAUUUGAACGUUGAUCCAAGGAUCAAAACUUUAUUGCAUUGUAAAAAAUCUGUCAACUUUUCUAAAAAGUUUGCCUGCGAGUGCAUAGGCAUUCGUUUGAAUCAGUCCCAGUUCAGUCACUUCGUAUUUUUCUUGAAUAUUUUUUACGUUUUUUCCCUUCGAACAUAGAGUAGAAAUAAAUCUAAAAUAGAUACUAUCGUGUCAAAAAAAAUAAAAUAAAAUAAAUUCCCGUACCCAAGCAAACCGCAGCAUGCAGCGUCCAUCUCCAUCUCAGCUGAUAGAAUGAUGGUAAUUCUCUUUUGGCGUUUGUCAAUUUGACACCGUACCAUCUUUGUCAAAAGCCGUUUCGCACAGUUCUCAUUGUACCCGUGAAAAGGUCCCUGAGAAAUAUAAUUAUACCAUUAACAACAAUCCCAUUACACCUAUAUACCUCCCCUUUCUUCUUGCCCUCUUCCUUUUCUAAUCCUCUGUGAUUAAACAAAACCGCCUCGAAUUACUUGUUCCUUCGUCAAUUUUUUCCCCCGUUUCUUGCUCAUAUUCAAUCGGUAAAAAGACAAAGAAAGAAAAUAACUCGGCUUUGUAAAAACUCUAGACUUAGACGCGCGAAUUAAGCACUUGUGUAAUCUUUUCUAGGCCACAGGGUGCUCGCAUCAGAAUGUCCACUCCGCCACCACUAUUAGACCCUUUUGUGCAACAGCAACCGCCGCCAAUGGUGGUGGCUGCUCAGCAGCAAGCCUAUGCAGCUCAUUCGGGUCACGGGUCAGUUGGACCAGUAAUUGCGGUUUUGGCCGUGAUAAGCAUACUUGGUGCGCUUGCUGUUAUGAUAGGUAGGCUGUGUUCCGGGCGGGGGGUAUUCGGUCAUGGGCCGCACUAUGACUUCGAAAGCUGGGUUGAAGCUAAGUGUUCCGCUUGUGUAGAUGGCCGUGUCGAUUCUCCGGUGCCACGACGGAUGUUGGCGGCAGAACACCGCAGUAGCAGCUCUUCCGGCGAUGCCAUCCCGGUGGCCGCGAGGGGAGUAGAAGCAGCUGAUCAAGAAAUGAACCAGGAGGAUCAAGAGACUACAUCUCAUCAUCCUACGCAUAAUCCACAGCCACAUCCAAGAGCUGAGGCUUGAAUUUUUAUUUUUUUUGCCCUUUUUGAGUGUGCAGUCCAGUCUCCUCACUUUUGGUAGCUUAAUUUUCCUGGUUGUUUCAAUAUUCAUAUAGUUUCAUGCUAGAAGCACAUAUUUUUUCACUCUAUGUGAAAGUUUUUUUUCUAACGUAAUUAUUAGGUGAUUUAGCUUGCUUUCUUCAUUUUUUUAAAAAAAUUUUAAUCUAUCAAUUUUUUCCUUUCCAUUUAACGCUAGGAAAUUUGAGUAUAUUUGUUGUGGGAUUAUUUUUUACAAUUACGGCGUAUGUAUGUGAAAAAGGGCGGAGGAAGUUAUUAGUCAUAUGAUUUCAAACUUUUUUUUUUUAGUAUAAAAGAAUUUUCUAUCAGAAUUUCCCCUUCAACUGUUAGUCGAAUGAUUUAAAUUCUGAAUCUAGUGAAAAGAUUCUAAAAGCUCCCAUUAGAACGGUCCUAGUGAUUGCUUAUAUGUUAUUAUCAUUUGCUAAUCCUCUUUUUUUUUUUUUUUGGUAGAAUAAGAAUCAAUUAAGCACAUUAUUUGCACACUUAAAAGUCGCCUACUACUAAGAGCCCAUUUAUUUGGCGUUGCGAUGCUUUUAGUAAAAAUGGAAUUUUAAAUGUUAAAAAGUACUUUUGAAGCAUUUUGUUAAUAUCAUUUUAUAAAAUUAGAAGUGAAACUUUUGGUAUUAAAUGCACAAAUUUGGUGAUUUUAAAAAUAAAAUAUUAAAUUUAAUCAUUUUAUCUUAUAUUAUCAACUAAAUAAAGAAAUAAAUAUAUUUUUAAAUUACAUAUUAUCUAAUAUAAUUAGUACUUAUAGAAUUAUAUCUCCAAACAAUAUAUUUAAAAGUACUUAAACACAUAAUAAGCAUUUUUAUUAAAAAAAAAUACUUUUUAAUCAGGUACCGCAACUCCAAACGGAUCUUAAGUAGUAUUUGAGGAGUCGAACAUGCGAUUAGUAGUUUAGUUUAUUUUAAGAUUAUUCUUUUUGUAAAGGAUUAAGAUUUAAAAUUAUAGAUAGCUAGCCAAAGAAUUUGUUCCUUUUCCCUGAGUUGAUAAUAGAAAAAGAAUUCGAAACCGGUUUGAUAAUAUAUAGUAAAGAAAUGAGAGUCCCUUGUUUAAUUUCCUGGUUCAUGAAUAUACCAUACCGAUCAGUACCAAGUUUCCAACAUCAUGAACCUGCUUUUUGAGCUGCACAAAAGCAUCCAUAGAUUCUAAAAGUGCCAAAAUGAUAGAGAGCCCUGCAGAUAAUUCAACACCAAAAGUCAAUUUUUCAUCAAUAAUUGCCAAAAAAUUUCCCCACUUUUUUCUAACAAAAGUGGGUGGGGGAGCGGUGGAGUGCGCACUUUGAUCUAAUAUAAUAACCAUAUACUCCGCCAACAAGUGCAUUUUAUGUGCCCUUUUGCCCUCUCUUUUUCAUCUCAAUCAUCAUUUUCUCAAUCAAGUCAACAAAGAAACAAAAAAAGGAGGGAAUAUUACCGGUUGAAUUGACGAAGGUAGCCUCGGGUCAGGACGAUCAGGUCACGUGGUCCGGACAAUUCUGCUUGCAAUACUCGACCACGUGACGAGUCAGCUUUUGUCGGGUACAAGAGUACAUUGCAGCCCGCCCAAUGGGCCAUAAACUAGGCGGAUCCCAUCCGUCUGCGUCUGCGUCUGCGUCUGCGUCUUAUUAGCAGAUCAUAAAUAUUCCAUUCUCUUAGGACCCUCGCUCUUCGCUUUUUGCUGCAUUCCUUGGGUCAAGACAACGUAUAAGAGGUACGUUGUGUACUCACAAUUUGAAUUAUAUAUAACUCUAUAUAAGGAAUUUUUUCAAACAGUGGUGGUUUGAAUUACAACUCUGUAUUCAACAGUGGUUUAAUAAGCACCGAUUUUCCUGCUUGUUCGAGCAUCGACGAAUUGUGCUAGAGCAUUAACUUUUCUGCUCAUUUGAGUUAAAGUAGUGUGUUUGCGAACUGUGAUACUCGAAUUAGACUCUCUCUGAGUUGGUUUUGCAAAUGUCCCUUCAAACCAUAGUGAGCUUAUUUUCAAUGAUGUUACCAUCCUUUUGUGUUCACGAGAACUGCAAGUCUGCAACAAAAAUAUUAGGCAAAAAAAAAUAUGGGGAAAACGAAAAGAGAAAUGGGCCAAACAAAAACCCCAUUGAGGAAUAAAAAAUUCACUUGAAGAAUGGGCCACGUAAAGCCCACACACUAGGGAUUAUACCCGCGCGUGGUAACGUGUAUAUCUUGAAAGUUGUGACAGAGUUCUGUGCUCAAGAGUUACACACAUCUGGCUUUCAGACUGAAGUGGGCUGGUGAUCCUGUCUACUUGCUCCCUUCACCAAAGUACGCUUUCGAGUAUUAACGAGUGAUAACCACGAGGUACUUUUAAAAUUUAAGAAAAAAAAAUUAAAAAACGCCUUUGGUCGAGCGGUUAUCACGUAAUUUUCAGCAACUUUGAUGGCUUUUGUAUUUGUUGGUUUUGUUGGCUUUUCGGCAAUUCCAUUUGCAUCAGUCUUUGGCAGUUCCUUAUGUCAUUAGAAUUAGCCUUAGUAGUCCUUCAUUUUUCGCUAAUGCCAUUUCUUGUUUCUGCCUUACUCAGGAGACCAAAGAUGCAUGUUAUAGUUGAGUGGUUUCUUUGUAAUUUAUUUGUUCUUUGUUCCUCUUUGUUUGCAUCAUUUUUGCCUAAUUGUGAUCCGCAGAGAUAGGCCAUCUUAGCUAUUCUUGAGUAUUAGUUUAGCCUUAGUUUUGUCUUAUUUUUCAGUUAUGCCAUUCCUUUUUUCCUUCGUUCAAGCUGCAUGCUAUAGUUGCUUGAUUGUUUGGUAAUUUUGUUGUCUUCUGACCCUAUUUUUUGUUGACUCAUUGUUCACUUUUGUGGAUGCCUCACUUUUUGUUUCUACAUGUUUCUUUGAAACCCUCCUCUUCUUCGUUGGAAAAUUGCCAUUUUGACUUUGAGUAAUCUACUGUUUUGUACUUUUGAUUUGUUCAUGUCAUUUGGAAACCUAUUACAGAGAUGAGAAUUCCCACAUUUUCCUUCCUCUUAAUCAUGAUGCUUGUUAAAUUUUUCCCAUUUUUACUUUUAUUCAUGCUUAUUUAUAUUCUUUUAUUUUACUAAAUAUCCGAUGCCUUUUAUAUUCUUUGUUGCCUACAUUCCUUACAUCUAACUAUACAAUCAAUAUAUUUAUGUGAUCUAAUGUUAUUAUAUACCUUUUUAUUUAGGCUCUUUAAGUUGGAAUGUUGAAUUUAGUGAUAUUUUUUACUUUUUAAACAAAAUUUAAAAGUUAGUCUUGUAUUUUUAGUACAAAGUUAAUUUUGUGGUUAAUUAUUUGCUUUUGAAGUAUUCUGUAAAUGCACAAUUAUUGAGGAAACAAUUAAUAAAUCAUUGUUGGCUUAACAUGAAAUAAAAUUGUUAAGUGUUCUGUAAAGACACAAUUAUUGAGAAAAUAAUUAAUAAAUUAUUAUUGGCAUUAGUGACUUUAAAAAAUGAAUUUUAUUACUGUGACAUGAAAUAAAAUUGUGCGCAAAAAAGAUCAAUGCAUAUAUUGCAAAAAAAUGAAAUACAAUAGUGUUCUGUAAAAUUGUUGAAUGCAGUGGUUGUUUAGCAUGUUCAGGAGUAGCUUUUGACUGCACGAUUCCUAAAAAUUGAACAGCAGAAAAAGAAAAAAAAAAAAAGAGAGAGAGAAGUCCAACAUUGUUAUCACAAAUAACCAAAAUCGGUUAAGGUGUCAAGGGUUUGGACUAAAAAUGGUUUCUAAUCCUACUACUUUUUAAAACAUACAAUUAUAAAGAUAUAUUAGUCUAUAUAUCCAUAUUUACUCUAUAUAAUUAUUACAAAUUUUUAAUGCCCUUGUUUUUAUUCUUAUUCUUUUCAUUCUAUAAAAAAGAAUAAUUAGUUUGUUAUUUACUAAUAGCUUGGAUAUCUAAUAACAAUUGCAGGAUAACCGCUCGACAAAAAAACACUGUUUAUAGGGCAACUCUCACUUUUAUAUUGUUAAAUAAAUAUCCAUAUUUAAUGUAUAUAUAUAAUUAUUAUAAAAUUUUUAGCAUAUUCAUUUUUCAUAAUGGCUCAAAAUUGCUCUAAAUUGAAAAGCAAUGUUGUAUGCUAUUUUUUUAUUAUUCUUUUAGUCAAACAUGCAAGAUUAAUUAGAUUGUUUCUUACAUUAAAAAAAAUAAAGUAGUUUAAAUUUCAAAAACAAUGUAUAAUACAUGGAUCUUAAUGUGGAUUAAUGAUCUAAUAUUAGUGAGCGGCAUUUUACAAAAAUAUGAAAGAAAAAUAAUUGUUGUGAUUAUAUUGAUUAAAUGUUUUAACUUGUGCAAAAAAAAAAAGGAAAUAGGCCCAUAUUUAUGGAAUUUAGUGAGUAAUAGAGAUAUACAUAAAUAUAGACGGGUAUCUUUAUAAUUAUCUCAUCCAGACUACAUAAUUUAUACAAAUCAUACCACAAAAUGUCGACACUGCAUUGUCUCAAUUAUAGUACUUUAUUAACCACUAUAGUACAAAAUAUCCUCCAUACUUCACAAACUAUUAACACUAUAUUCACCCAACCAAUUUACCGCACUAUUAUUUUAUAAUUCAAGUCAGACUUAUAAUAAUUAUAUAACUCUCUACAUUAUAAGAAAUAUAUAACGGUUAAAAAUUAAGCAACUUAACACGGGAAAUAUUAGCGCUCCUGCGCAACGUGCAGGCCGUCUCACUAGUAUAUAUAUAUAUAUAUAUAUAUAUAUCAUAAAUCAUGCUAAAAUGAAGGGGCUAAGCUCUAAUAAGAUGAGAAAAUAGAUGUCCGCUAGGCGCCCUUUUUCUCUAACAAAGGGAACUGUGCAUGCGCUCAAAAACUAUUGGAGUGACGAAGAGUCUCAAUAUUCACAUCUGAUCUGGUACAAAAUUUUACACAUGAAUACUACUCCAACGAUGUUCACGAAUCACAACCACUCCGAUUAGAUUUCUCAAUUUUUUAAAAACAAAAUUUUCAUAUAUAAUGCUAUAAUAAUACAAAAAUAAAAAUAAUUUUAAAAUAUCACAUCUAUACAAUAUAUCAAAAACAACUCCGAAUAUAUAUAAAAAAAAUACACCACCACCUACCACUAAAAACACACCACUACCCGUCGCCCCUUCCCCCUCCUUUUUCCUCUUCCUCCCUCUUUUCCCUCCCCUUUCUUAUCUCUUUCUUCCUCCCCCUUCUUCCCCCUCCAUUCUCCUCCCCUCCCCUCCCCUCCCCUCCUCCUUCCUUUCCACGUUCUCCAGUUGUCCCUCUCGCCCUUGUAGUCGCAAGUUGUGACAAUAUUUGUCGUGGGCAGCGACCAUUUUCUGGUCGCAGGUUGCAACCAAAAGGUGAGGGGGCUGGCGGGAAAGGGUGGGGAAGAGGGAGGAGGAUAGGGGAGGGGUGGGAAUAGUGGUGGGUGGUUGUAAGAUUUUAUAUAUUUUAAAAGACACCAUUAAAAAUAUUUAUAAUAAAAUUUUUCACCUACAUUGUUACAGUAAAUACUUCUAAAGCAUUCCUAAAAAACAGUUAAUUCAAACGGAAUCUACAUUAACCAAAAGCAUCCAGGUUUGCAAGUGCUUCAAAUUCCAUUGAAACCGAAAGCGUAAUAUGUUCGUCAAGUUUGACUUAUUAAUCAUCUGCUUAUUGUGAUCGGCGCGCGCACACACAUCCAAUCAUUCAAGAAACGACUAUAAGCAGCCCAACUAAUUUUAUGCUGCUGCCGCUGCCUAAUAAUUUAAGAUCAACAAUAAUUGGGAUUUGGGAGACCCACCCGUCAUCUUCUUGCACUAGGAAACACGCAAAUCACCAUGUAUGGUUGGAUUCGUCUUAAGCAACUUUCUCAAAUGUAAAGGGAAAGGCAACACGAGUAAGUGGCUGUCCAAAAAGUUCAUGCAAUCUAUAAUGCUUAGAGUGAAUAGUGUUAAAUGUCACUAAGUUAUUAAACAGUACCUAUUUUAGCCGUUAAACAAUUUUUUUUAAACUAAAAAUGUCACUCAACUCUUACAAAUGUAGUAGAUUUUUUGUCAUUUCGUCCAAAAUAGGCAUUAAGGCAAACGGAAAAAGAUGCACAAUACUUAAAAAGGGUAAGAGUGUCUGAAAAUUUUGUGGGAGACAUUUUUUUUGGAUAGGGUAUUAUUUGGAAUAAUAACUGUAACACUUUUUUGUGAUGUGCUGUAUGUGAGAUAAAAAUGUUAUUGAGAAUAUAAAAAGGUGUGUUGGGAAAUGUGUUUAUGAUACAAGCGAAAUAUUAUUUGGAAUAAUUUCACUAUCCAAACAAAAUUGGGCCAAUAAAAAUAUAUGAGCACAAUAAAAAUAUGUAGAGGGCCAAAGUAGAAACAUCACAAAAUUAGGGGCUUUAACUUAUUACAUCAAAAUCCUAAACUACAUAUAAUCUUCAAAACAAGGACCUUGACGGUCAAUUAUCCACCAUCUUUACCAUUCAUCCUCCAAAAUCAUCAUGAAUUUCUAUUUAUAAACCAAAAAACCAUUUCAUAUCAUUCUACUAUCAUUUUCCCACAUGCCUAUUGUAAGGCUAGCUAGAUAGCUUUCUUCUCUUUUUCACCCCUACCAACUCUAGUGACCAAGGAACAUAACUUAGUAGGAUUUAAAAGUCACAAAUUCAAAUCAUUCCUCCCUCCUCCUUACUUUUUAAAUUGAACCCUUUUUUCGAUUCUUGAAUUUCACCCAUUCCUAUCAGAGAAGUUAAUAGAAGAAAAAAAAGGGCAAUAAAAGACAAGCUUACCAGUUCCAUUCCGGAAGCCCAAUUAGUGGCCUCCACAGCCCUGGCCUUCAUAUUUUUGACCCGCGACGCUAAACGUACGCCAUAAACUUGCAAAAUUUCACUGGUUGCUUGGCCCUCCACUUUUGACCAACUCCAUCACAAAAUGCACGCCUCCAACCAACCCGCCUCAGUUUGACAACAAAAAAAAAAAAAAAAAAAAAAACCAACCCGCCUCCCAAAAUGCUUUCUCUAUUUGAGUUUUUUUUUUUUGUUUUCUUGAUCAAAUGAAUCAUAAUUCAUUUGAUGCACUCGUAUGGUCUGAUGAUAGUUCAGUCCCCGUCAGGCUCCCCCGACUCAAUUGAGUCACUCCAUAGAUUAGGUUUCUAUCCCUUAGGAGUAGGAGAGAAUUAGGAUAGAAUAGAUGUACCAUUACACAAAAAAAAAAAAUCAUAAUUCGAUACAUCUCCUUGCGUAUAGCCUUGAACCUUUUGUAAAUAAAAUAGAAAGAAGGAACAAAUGUGCUUUUAUCUUCCAUUUAAAAGUAAAACAUUAAUAAGUAGAAGUUAUUUUACUUUAUCCUUUUUUUUUCUUGGCUGAAAUAACAUGACAUGAGGGAAAUCAUAUAGUAGAAUUAGGGGUGUUUUGCGAAUCGAGCCGCUCGCGAUCGGCUCGCGAGCGGCUCGAAUACGAGCUCGACUCGAGCUCGUCAAUAUCGAGUUCGAGUCGAGCUCGAGCUAAUUAAGUCGAUCUCGAGGUCAAAAACAUUAAACUCGUUGGCUCGCGAGCUCAAUUAUAUAUAUUUUUUUAUUUUUUAUUUUAAUUGUAAAAUUACAUAUAUAUCCCUAAUAUUUUAUUAUUUUUUAAAAAAAUUAUUGUUUUAUUCAUUUUUUUAAAAAAAUUAUUUUUUAUUUUUUAAAAAUAAAAUAAUAAUUAUUAUUUUAUUUUUAUUUUUUAAGCUCGAGCUCGAGCUCGAGAUCGACUCGAAUUUGACUCGAGCUCGAGCUCGAGCUUGAUAUUUUGAGCUCGUCGAGCUCGAGCUCGAGUUCGAGCUUCACAAAAUUAACUCGACCUCGACUCGAUUAGCCAAAGCUCGACUCGAGCUCGGCUCGUUUGCACUCCUAAGUAGAAUACAACAAAUGAAAUAAAUUUAACUAUUACCACAUCAAACGGAAAUCAUCAGUUGGUUAGGUUUAGGUUCAAUUUUCUUUUCUUUUUUGGUUUCUGUACAGUGCCUUGGGACAUCAUAUUAUUGUCUACAACUAGAACGUUAAUAUAUAGGAGGAAAUAGCUGUGUAAAUAAAACUCAUUACCAUCUUCAUGGGAUAUAGACGACCAACUCGGUUAUCGCAGACGCAGCCAACGACGGUCGUCUUCCCCGAAGUCUCGUGCUUCUUCCCAAAUAGAUAUAUCCAGACAUUAAAAAAAAAAAAAAAGGUGCUCUACUGACAAUUCUUUUUCCAUGCAGCACAACAGUAGAUGUGUGAAUUAUCGCGAUAAUAUAAAAACAUCACCACUUGGAAACGAAAGGAAAACGACGCGGUACUAAUGCCAGCAAGUCGCUAUUUCCGGUGGACAGAAAAAAUUAACAGAGCAUAAAAUGUUAGUAGUAAUUCAUACUCUAUUAACUAGUUAUAAUACUGACGAUAUAUGCAGGUUCAGGUGCAGGCUGCCAAUGCAUUUUCGGCUUUUUGCAGAUCAUAGCAAAACUGCCUUUCUAACUAUGCAGAUCUCAUUGAUUUAAACCUCAUCGUCGAGUAAAUUGAUUUUAUUAAUUUACACAGACCAUGGAUUUUUGUCUUUUAAAAUAACAAAAACUUUAAAGUUGCACUCAUCUUUUAGUGUGUUACUGAAGAAUUAUUCACCACCUUCGGACAGGAUGGGGAAUAUCUUAUUAUGCAUGGGAACUCUUAUUAUGGUGUUACUCUGUUUCCAUCAUCCUUUAAGGUGUAUUUUUUUUUUACAUUCAUAUUAAAAAUAAUUAAAUGAUCCAACAAUAUUUCAAAAAAUAUUUUUUCUAUUUUACUAGGAAGCUUUAAUUCAUUUUGAUAACUAUCCGCAAUCGUAGUAGUGAUUAACAAUUGACUGUUUACACAUUUUCAUAUUUUAAUAAAAUUGUUUAAGAAACUGGCAUUCAAGGUGUAAAACCACAUCCUAUGAGAAUGAUUUUUACAAAAUAAAAAAUAAUUUUUAGGGUGAUGUUAUUUGCACUCCCACUAUCUUUUUUUUUUUUUGUUUGGAUGAGACUCCGUUUGGAUUAGCUGUUUUUGGGAGUGAUUUUGAAAAAUUUUACUGUAGCAGAGUUUUCAGAUUAUAUUUUGGGAUAUUUAAGAGUAGAAGAGUUUCUAAAAUAUAUUUUGAGAUAUUUUUUAAAAUUUUAAAAAAAAUUAAACUAUUUUUUAGAUUAACCUUUAGAGUACUUUUUAAAAUUUUUUAUUGUAUUUAAAAAAUUAGUUUUUGAAAAACAGUCCCGCACAUUUUCAUUAUUAUGACACAUUUCCUAAAACUUCACUCCUGCACAAAAUUAACCUAAGCUGGAAAAAAAAAGAAGAAAACUUAGCGCGCUUCUUGAACGGGAGUCCCCUCGAGUAUUUGUUAGCUAAAUCCAUUUAAAUUAAACGAGCACAAUUGGCUGGACUGGAUGGAUGGAUAGGGAAUUAGAACUAGGCAUUCGACCCCGCGGCUGUCGCGGGGUGCCCAUAUUAUGGUGUUAUUGAGUGAUGAAUAAUGUAAAAUAAAGUAGAAGAAAUUAUUAUAAUAGUAUGGUUGUUGAGUGUUGAAUAUUAUAAUAGUGAUUGUAGAAUAAGCAAAUAUGAGAUAGUAUACACAGUGAGCAUGAGCAAAAUACACAAAAAUGGAAAAAAGUAAGGAGAUUUUUUAAAUUUGCUAAUAGUUUAUGGAGUCACCUAACGUAAGAAAAUUCGGAGUUAAUGCAGACUAAAAAGCUGCAACAAAGAAAAAUGAUUCUGUGCGAAGUAGUAAGUUUUUUGGCAAAAAUCAUGGGAACAAAACAGAUAUUCUUAGGUAAUUAAUAGGGAGGAGAAAAUGAUAGAAACAUAACUUCAAUCACAAGGAAAGAAAAUAAGUAACUGCAGAUUGAUUAAGAGUAAACGAGGAAAAGGUCAAUGAAGAAAUGCAGUAAAGAAAAACAAGGACAUACCUGACUGAAGCCGGCGCGAAGCUGAGAAUUUGAAAUAGGGAUCAGGAAAAGCCAAUAGAAAAUAAAGGCUAACAGAAAGGCGCAAGAGAAAAGAGAAACAUCUCUAAAGCAUUAUAAUAGUUGGUAGUCCGUAGAUAAAGAAAACCAAACCAAAGAAACUGACGGUGAAAAGGUUAAUGUAGACAGAACGCAUAGUCUUCAACUAUACAAAGAGUUUGUGGUUUGGUAGAAGGAAGCACGUGCAUGCAUUAAAUAUGACUAAUGAUUGCAAGUCCACUAUGACAGUGUAAUCUGUGAAAGAACCGAACGAAACAAGCAUAUCUCUAUCUUUAAGUGCAUGACAUGAACUGUAACUACAGGUGUAACUUCUAAUCUGUAACCACGUAAGAUAAAUUUUGCGCCACGUAACCUUUAAUCACCAGGGAACAACCACGUAAAAUUUGAUAGCAUGCGGUGGCAUCGUAGAAUAAUUGCUAUAUAUUUUGCUAAAAAUAUCUUAAAACGCAAAAGCUUUAAAUUAAUAAUUGAGUAGUUAAUAUUAAAAUGCAAAAGCUUUAAAUUAAUAAUAUUAGAUACACAAAAAAUUUGUCUCGAUAUAUAUUUUUUUUCAGAAAAAUCAAUGUUUUUGUUAACAUAUAUAUUUUGCUGAACAUGCACAUAUAUAAAAAGGCACACAACUAAUUAUCACUUUGUCCUAAACAUAUUUAUGUUAUGCUAUUCAAACUUAAAACGCAAGAGCUUUAAUUUGAUAAUUGAGUAGUUAACAAAUAUUAUCGAAAUAACAUUUUUGAAGUAGAGGGAAAUUAUCCGAUAUUUUUAAAAACAAUUGAUUGUAUUAAUGGAACCUAAUACAAAACGGGACAAUUGAUUUAUAUUUAUUAGAUAUGCACAUAUUGGAAUAAGAUGAGAGAAUAAGAUGAGAAAAUAGAAUAUGAGCACAACAGCAAAAGGAGACAAUUAACUUGUAACUGGAGCUUGACGGCAAGCUUUAAAUUAACAAUUGAGUAGUUAAUAUUAAAACACAACAGCUUUAAAUUAAUAAUAUUAGAUACACACAGAAUUUGUGUCCAUAUAUAUAUUUUGCCGAACAUGCACAUACAAAUAUUAUCAAUCUUAAACGCAAAAGCUUUAAUUAGCUUUAAUUUAAUAAUUGAGCAGUUAACAAAUAUUAUCGACGUAACUACUCAAUCUUAAAACGCAAAAGCUUUAAUUUAAUAAUUGAGUAUUUUAGUGUAAUAUUUUUUGAAUUUUACUUACAAACAUUUAUGUUUUUAACAUAAAUUAAAUGAUUCAAAGUAAAAUGUCCAUAAAUAGCUAGUACUUUGUUCAUGUAAUGGAGAAAACCAAUAAAGAGCCGAUAUGCUAUGGGCAAUUUCUUUUUUUACUUUUACAUAUUUAAUUUAUGUUAAAUACAAAACCUAUGAGUUUCCCUUUCGUAAAAAUAUUAGUGUAACACUUUUCCAAUUUUAGUUACAAACAUUUAUGUAUUUUACACAAAUUAAAUAAUUUAGAGUAAAAUGCCCAUAAAUAACUAAUAUUUUGUUCAUGUAAUGCAAAAAACCCAUAAAGAGCUAGUAUGUUAUAGGCAAUAUCUUUUUUACUUUCACACAUUUAAUUUAUGUUAAGCACAAAAUCUAUCAGUUUCCUUUUCUUAAAAAUAUGAGUGUAACACUUUUUUAAUUUUAGUUAUAAACAUUUAUGUAUUUAACAUAAAUUAAAUGAUUCUCUUUUGUAUUUAACAUAUUGGGAGCAGAGGCCAUUGACGGCUACAUAUUGGACCAUAGGACAAAGAUGGACAAAUCGAACCGCCAAAUUAAUGCAAAAAAUCCAUAAAGAGCUGGUAUGUUAUAGGCAAUAUCUUCCAUUUGUUUAUUAAUUAUAUGUACGUGUAUUUUAUAUUGGAACAUGUGUAAAGAUUUGUAAUAUAAUUUUUGUAAUGUAGUAUGGAUUUGUCAUAUUUUAUAUUAUUUUGAAUGAUUAUGAUUUUGAUAUGUUUUUCUAUUGGUAAAGUAAGUAAUUGUUUUGCACUUUUUAAUUUUUUUUGGUAUUUUAUUGUUUACAGUAUAUUUAUGUUUUGUCUAAUUGUGAUUUGAUUAUUGGUUCUAAUUAAUUUUAUGCUAGUGAAAGUUGUGAGAGUGGAUUAAUUGAAGGAUUUCUUAGUGUGUAUGAUGGUAUAAUUUGAGGUGUAUUAUUCUAGGUUGUGUUGAUUUUUGUAAUAUUUAGUAUUGAUUAGUAAUGUGUAAAUUGUAUAAAUUUUUUAAUUGUUUGUUGCUGGUACUAUUUAACCAGUGAAGAGUAAUUUGGCAGCCAAAGUUGCUGAUUUUGUUUGCAUAUCAUAUAUAUAUUUUUUGCUAUAUAUGGAUGGAUAUAGUGGUAUUUUUCUUAUGUCCGAAACCCAAACAUAGUGGACCAACAUAAUAAGGCUGCAGACCAGAAAAGAUUUCGCAAAAACCGUGAGAGGUCCAAUAAAUCUGGGCAGACAUAUGCAGCAGGCAACGGGCCAACCACUAAAAAUAUUAUUUGCAAUAAAAAGACGAAAAAGGCCAAAAUCUAUAGAGAAACAACAACGAAACCAGUGUAAAAGGGUAAAAUUGGAAUAAGGCGACCAAAAUUUAGAACCUAUGGCCGACAAGCAUGAAACAGAGAUGACCCCACGAUGAGUUCCAUCACACCUACAAAGACAAAUGAGGACAAAAUCAACCCUCAAAUUACAAAAUAACCAAUGGAAAUCACUGUUGCCAACCCUUCGGCGCUUUAUGUAGUUAGAGAUUAGGGACUUGGGGGCAACGGCAACAAAUUUUUACAAAUAAUUGUUGCUACGGGUUCGCGGCGCAGCAGGCGCAAAUUAGUGGAAGGACCAUGGGUAAGUAGUAAGUACACAGUUUGAUUUAAAAUGGUUGAGUAAUGAGGGGGAGACCUGGCUCCAAGCUCCAGAGAGUUCGAACUUCGAAAUAUAUAUAAAGCGGGACCUUGUAAGAAAUGUUCUCCCCCGGUGCUUCCGCCUGCCUCUAGGGUUUUUCUACUGCUGCUCUUUGGUCUUCUCCUUCUAACCUGCUCGAUUCUUUGAUCAGAACUGCCGGAAAUGGAGAGGCCACGUUGCUUUCUGGACAUAAGCAUCGGCGGUGAGCUGGAAGGUAGAAUCGUCGUGGAGCUCUACAAUGAUAUCGUCCCCAAAACCGCCGAAAAUUUCAGAGCUCUCUGCACCGGCGAGAAAGGCAUUGGUCCUCACACCGGUGUACCUCUUCAUUACAAGGUCGUCCUCCCUAAAACUUCUACCGUUACACGCUAAUUCUUUCAUGCUACUACAUUCGGACAUGUAUACGUACGGAUAUAUUUGUUCAUACGACCUUAGUUUACUCUUAUAUAUUUGAUUUCAUGUGAUCGAGUUGUGCACAGUUCUAUUGACAGUGAAUUGAUUACCGUGAGGAUUGUGGAUUUCAGUGUCUAACCUUUUAUGUGUGGUGUUUUCGCUCCCCUGACUUGAUUUACAUGAAAACUUGUUAAGAAUCAAUCAUUGCUUUACGAAUUGAUAACAAGUAUUCCUCUGAUGUCGGCAAAUUUGAUCAACAAACAAAGUGGAUGGUGUUUAAUAGGAGGGGAAACUAAAUCUUUGACUCCUCCUGAAGUUUCUGUCUAAUUGUCUAUUCAUUGGAUCUAAAUGUAAAGCAUUUUGUAUAGUGCGUGGUCUCAGUGUUUCAGAGUAGUUUGAAGUUGACCUUUAUGAUAGUAAUAAUAGUCCUUUAUUUGCGCUUUUAGUUUCUAACUACACUCCUGCAUUUGUUUUAGGGAAGCCGAUUCCACCGUGUUAUUAAAAGCUUUAUGGUGCAAGGUGGUGACAUAUCUGCAGGGGAUGGUACUGGGGGUGAAUCAAUUUAUGGGCUGAAAUUUGAAGAUGAAAAUUUUGAUUUAAAGCAUGAAAGGAAAGGAAUGCUAUCAAUGGCUAAUGCCGGGCCUAACACUAAUGGGUCGCAGUUUUUUAUCACUACUACUAGGACUUCCCAUCUAGAUGGAAAACAUGUUGUAUUUGGGAAGGUAGUCAAAGGCAUGGGAGUUGUCCGCUCAAUUGAGCAUGUUACAACAGGUGAUAAUGAUUGCCCUACUCUGGAUGUUAUAAUUGUGGAUUGUGGCCAAAUACAAGAGGGAGCAGAUGAUGGAAUUGCUAACUUUUUCAAAGAUGGAGACGAAUAUGCUGAUUGGCCUGCUGAUCUUGACAACUGUUCUGGGGAGCUUUCUUGGUGGAUGACUGCUGUAGACUCUAUUAAGUCUCAUGGAAAUGACUAUUUUAAGGUAUCAAAUGCUUAAAACAUCGGUAACUGGUCAAUUGCUGAUCUUGUUCUCCUAUGUUUUUAUACAUUUUUAUCUGCCAUUUUUUAUAAAUUCCUCUGUUAACUUCUUGUAGAAACAAGACUAUAAAAUGGCUCUCAGAAAGUAUCGAAAAGCUUUGCGAUAUUUGGAUAUCUGUUGGGAAAAAGAUGGGAUUGAUGAAGGUAAACGAAAUGUUUUGCCUUCCAAAGAUGGUCAGUUUGUUCUUGCAUAUGUUAAAGGAAGAUAAUUCUCCAAAUUUUGCUGCCACCUAUACUACGCUCCAUAGUUUGUAGAAUUGGGAUCCUAUGCAGGAUCGAUUUAGGAUAGUGGGAUCGGGAUCGUAGGAUCCGAUCGUUGAAUUGUAAGAUUCUACCAAAAAUUACAUAUUAAGCUGUUACUAACUUUUAAACUAUUAGUUUACAUAUUUUCAUUGAAUAUAUGCGUAUUUAAUUUUAAAAUGCACAAUAUUAACACUGGUUUAAUGAUUAUUGACACAAUAAAUAUAUAUUUCAAGUAUCGUAUCAUGUUCUUAUGGGCCAUAAUUAACUAUACGAGUGAAGAAAAAUCUGUUACUAACUAUAAUAUCAUGAACUUAACCAAAAAUAUAAGGUAACUAAUAAUCCAUUGCACUAAUAAGAUAAUAAGCAAAUAAUAAUAAUAACACGAUACUAAGCAGCAUAAAACAAUAUCAGUAGAUUUUAAUUAAAUUUUAUCCUUUUCUAACCAAUUGAAACUCUUAAAACUUUCUUCACAUAAUUAAACUUGAAACUAAUACUGAACUAGUAAUAUAUUUUAGGAAGAAAAAUUAAAUGUUGCAUUAAAAGAUUCUAAUUUGUUUCCAUUUAUUAUUGUUUAGUGUUUAUUAUAUUGUUCCUUGUGGGAUAGCUUUAACAGGGAUGGUAGCAAAUUUAGAUAGAAACAUGUCAGCAAAUGUUUAGGAAGUGGGCCACACCACUUGCAUUGUAGGUUAAAUUUUUUUGAACGAUCCUAGUUGUUAGGAUCGUACGAUUCUAGUAUGAUUCUACGAUUCCAGUAUGACUUAGCUAGAACAAGUGCAAUUUUAUGAGAAUUGCGACCCCACUACCAAUCUGGAUCAGUGACUUAAUUCCAGGUCCUGAUCGCGAUCCUACGAUCCGGAUUACAAUUUUGAUAACACUGCUAUGCUCUUCUCAUUCUUUAUUUCCGUUCUUUCAACAGACAAGAGUAUGCAUUUGAGGAAGAUGAAGUCUCAGAUAUUUACAAACAGCUCGGUGAGUUUAUCCUGGAAUUCUCAAAGAUAUGCUGCUUGUGCUGGCCUUGUGCCAGAAAUGAAAUUUUGCCAAACAUAGUAAGAUGCAGUAACAUUCUUAAUGUCAAUUCAGAACAUUAGCUAGGGCAGAGCUUCCCAUUUAUAUAUGAUUGUACAGUCAGUUUUACUGUGAGAAUCAACUCUGGUUGUAAUGCAGAGAUUUGUCAUUUGAACUAGGGUAUCAGUGCAUGUUUUCUAACGUGUCUUAGUUGCUUAGUACUGAUCAUAUCUUGCUUAUCAUGAAGUUUGAAGCUUAGACUUUUUAACUUGUUAUGGAGAAAUUUUCCAAUCUUAAUCCUAUCAGAAAGGCUUGGUUAUAUCUGAUUUCUUCCAGAACUAUUAGGUGUGCAACAUUCAUGCAUUUCUGGAAAGAACAUGUUUUACAAUGCCUGUAGACCUGAAGGUUUUGGUUGUCCUAUCAAGCCAGUUAAUUUAUUCUACUUUUGUUUAGGCUUGUAAACUGAAACUUGGAGAUUCAAAGGGAGCACUUUUGGAUGCUGACUUUGCAAUGCGUGAUGGAGAGAAUAAUGCCAAGGCUUUGUUUCGCCAGGGUCAGGUGAGUAUGAUUGUCCAUCAAGUAAAUCUUCGCCUUCUCCCCUAUGCUGAUAUUAACUUAUGAUUAUUGUUGUAAGUAUUAAAUGUUUACUAGUUGGACAAACGCUGAGUAUCAUCACUUUCUCUUUGACUCAUAGUUCAUUUUAAUUCUUUUUUAGGUUUUUAAUGUGGUUAAUAGAGCCGGAGACUGAUUUAUCAACAAGUCGAAUCUAGCUAAGGUUAUACGCCUGUGGUGGGGGAAGGAAGAAACUUAGAAUAGUGACCACUGUUUUAAAAAAAAAAAAUUUUUCCUUUUAUUAAUGGACUGUUUGUGGUCAAUGGCCCCUUGGGCAAUGCAAGAGGAUGAUUAGGUUAUUAUGGUCAAUGACUUGCUUACAUAGUUAUAGCUAACAUCUUUACUUUAUUAUAGCUUCAUCUUUCUCUGCUUUACUAUGAACUAUGUCAAUUGGCUUCUGUUGUAGCUGGUAUGCCUUCGCGUUCCAUAAAAAUCUCAAUGGGGUAAAUCAAACUACUAAUUACAAAUCACAUGUUGUGCAUAUGUCCUGAUACCUAAAUGGUUAUGUAUAUCUUUUAGCACAAAUUACCUAUUAUUUUUACUGACUAAUUCCCUUUGUUAUUUUUCAUGUUUAUUCCUAUUUGCUUGCUUUCAAUCUAAUAGUCAUAUGAUAUGCAAUUUUUGUCGCCCUAUGAAUUCCAACUUGGCAUUCGUGCUUCUUAGGAAUCUUGUUUUGCCCCUAUUUGAUGAUUAUCAUUGUUCUCUUCUGACUGACUGCCUAUACCUUAGACUAUUUUAGUGGCACAUUCUGAAGUAGCUGUGAUUGUAAUCUAUUGAUCAAUCAGGCACACAUGGCUCUUAAUGAUAUAGAUGCUGCAGUUGAAAGUUUCAAGAAAGCUUUGAAUUUGGAGCCCAAUGAUGGUUAGUGAUGCUUAUUCUUGUUUUGCUCAUACAAAGCUGAACUUAGCUUUUCUUUUUGAACUAAGUCUUAUUUGUUUGACUUAUUUUGUUGACUUUUAGUUUAUUUUGAGCUACAAAAGCUGCUUUUGUGAAGCACAUCUGAUCAUAAGUUUGUUUAAAAACUUCUUUUGCUUUGCAAAAUAUUUAGGAAAAAAGCCUUUUAAUCUUUUAAUUUUUUCUGAGGAUUUUUUUUUCUUGUCGAUGUGGCUUUUGAAAAUUUAAAGCAAGUAGGAAAAUUGUUUUGGUUUGAGGUGCUUUGAAAUGCUCAAUUCAUGGCAAAAAUAAAAAGAAUCAAUUCAACCAAUUUCCAUCAUUGUCUGAAUAUAAAGUUCACUUUCUAAAGAAUUUUGAAUUUACUGUUGCUUUAUGUCACGUGGAUCGUGACUUCCUCUGGGAAGAUUGUGAAUAAUAAAUUGAGUUGAUUCUGAUUAGUUUUUGUUGUAAGCUUCUUAUUCUUACUCCUGGUAAAGGUUUAAAAAAUGAUUUGGAAUGGUCUUUAUUCUGGUUUCGUGCAUAAUGGUUCUAGAUUUUACUGCUCCUUGGUCUUCUGGUUUUCAGAAGUUAACCUAGCUAUAGGUUAAUACCUAUGGACAGAUAGGUAACAACAUGCAAUGACUAGACUUCAGUAGUAAGUUUUGAGGAAGUAGACUCGUAUUAGUAUAUGUGUGGAGAAUAUGAAAGGCAACAUAUUUGAUACAUUGGAUCAGACACUGAUUACUGACUCGGGAUCACAUCUUCCAGGAGCAAUAAAAAAGGAGCUUGCUGCAGCAAAGAAAAGGGUGAGUGGGGAAUCAUGUGUUUGUGAACUUUGCCAAAUUGUAAACCACUUCGUAUGGUGUUAGGUCAAUUACUGCAGAUGGUGAUAAUCUAAUCUUCUUCUUCCUUGGCCAUAGAUUGCUGAUAGACGUGAUCAGGAGAGAAAAGCUUUCGCCAAAAUGUUCCAAUAAUAUAUGGUAUUUAUUCUUCAGCUUCUUGUUUAUGCUGCUAGUUUAAAUGAGGUUGGUUUGAUUCCGAGGUUGCUUCCCUCUGAUUUUUUUUGAAGGUGGGGAUCACCUUGUAACUUUAUGUGCUAAUUUCAACUCUGUUUAGACGGCAUGCUUCGGUUGCCUGGUGCGCUGUCAGGUAUUAACAUUACUGCAUAGUAUUAGUUAAGUGAACAGCUAGGUUAAACAAGAUUACUUAAAUAUGCGAUCAGCCCCAUCUAAAUCUAAGAAACCGAAAAAUCUGUCUAAUUUGCCACAAAGAUUAUUUCUUCUUGUCAUUGAAAAAUCUGCUCUAUAAUGAUAAUGUUCUCACCUCGGAUUUUUUUUUUUUUUUCUUUUUCACAGGGUUGAAAGGGCUGGUAGAUCUUGAUCACCGUAUUGUAAACUUAGAGACUGUACAAAAUUUUUGGGCAGACAUUUUUAGGUUUGAUUAUCUUGGUAUUAGUCAAUUGGGCUUUAGCAUUUCAAAACAUGCCAAAACUGGCGAAGUUGAUAGAUUUUUUACCGUCUUACUGAAUAAUCAGAACUAUUUUCUCUUUUUUCGCCCACUUUCUGAUACAAUUUAGUUUGAUUAUAAUUUUGUAAUGGGUUGUUAAAAAAAUAACCGUCGUAGUCAUCAAAUGGCACCCGCUUAACGGGAGAUCAAAUUUGACUUCGUACGUGAUACUAUUGGAUUUGCUAAAUCGACACCCUUAACGGGAAUUAAUUUCACUUCUUAAAUGAUACUAUUAGAUUAGCUAAAUUAAACACCCUUAACGGGAGGUCAAAUUUGGCUUCUAAAAUGAUACUAGUAGAUUUGCCCUUAACAUCGUUAAUAUGAGAUAAAUACAUGUUCAAGAAAUUUGCAUUUAGGGAGUACUUUAAAACAGAAAAAGGAUAAAUUUUGGCUUCUCACCAUCACCAGCAUACCAAAUACGAGUUAAAUGAACUUACAGAAACCGUCUGCUUUUUCCACCAAACAAAUUCCUUCCCAGAGCAUUUCUAUUGCUUUUGAUACACACUAGAUCAUGUAAAACUUAUCGAAGUACAAGAAACUAUUAAGCAUGCCAUUUCUAGACCUGAACACCAUUAUGAAUUGUAAUUAUCAAGGCCAAGAUCCCUGAGUGCAUCAGUAGCUGCUUCU